rnacentral:rRNA from 1 species
CCUACGGGAGACAGCAGUGAGGAAUAUUGGUCAAUGGACGAGAGUCUGAACCAGCCAAGUAGCGUGAAGGAUGACUGCCCUAUGGGUUGUAAACUUCUUUUAUAUGGGAAUAAAAUGUUCCACGUGUGGGAUUUUGUAUGUACCAUAUGAAUAAGGAUCGGCUAACUCCGUGCCAGCAGCCGCGGUAAUACGGAGGAUCCGAGCGUUAUCCGGAUUUAUUGGGUUUAAAGGGACCGUAGGUGGAUUGUUAAGUCAGUUGUGAAAGUUUGCGGCUCAACCGUAAAAUUGCAGUUGGAACUGGCAGUCUUGAGUACAGUAGAGGUGGGCGGAAUUCGUGGUGUAGCGGUGAAAUGCUUAGAUAUCACGAAGAACUCCGAUUGCGAAGGCAGUUCACUGGACUGCAACUGACACUGAGGCUCGAAAGUGUGGGUAUCAAACAGGAUUAGAUACCCCUGUAGUC